UGCCUAUACCGGGCCGCUGGUGGCAGAGCACGUCUCCCUGCAGAAGGGAGUACGCUUAGGCCCCAGCGAGUAGGGGGGUCGCAGCGGUGCGCGCAGAAGGGUCUGGGCGUGAGCCUGCCUGGAGCCGCCGCUGGUGCAGAUCUUGGUGGUAGUAGCAAAUACUCCAGAGGGAUCCUGGAGGACUGACGCGGAGAAGGGUUUCAUGUGAACAGUGGUUGGACAUGAGUCAGUCGAUCCUAAGCCGCAGGUGAAAUCCGUCCCAGGGAACGGCGUGUUUCUUUCUUUUUCCAAAGGAAAUGUUACAAGCGCCGCUGGGUAAGGCGAAAGGGAAUCCGGUUCUAAUUCCGGAACCCGGUUACGGAUACGAUCGAGUGCCCGUCACUCGUCACGGCAACGUGAAAAAGCCCGGAGAAGCUGUCCGGAGCCCCGGGAAGAGUUUUCUUUUCUGCAUGAGGGGCCGAAACCCUGGAAUUCUGUCGUGGAGCGAUAGGGUAUUGGCCCCGAAGAGCGCCGCAGUUCUGCGGCGUCCGUGGGUUCUGGCUGGCCCUUGAAAAUCCGGGUGAGGGCUACGCGAUUGUUUCGUACCGGCUCGUACCGAUAUCCGCAUCAGGUCUCCCAGGUGAACAGCCUCUAGUCGAUAGAUGAAUGUAGGUAA
rnacentral:rRNA from 1 species